UACGUAGGGUGCAAGCGUUAAUCGGAAUUACUGGGCGUAAAGCGUGCGCAGGCGGUUCGCUAAGACCGAUGUGAAAUCCCCGGGCUUAACCUGGGAACUGCAUUGGUGACUGGCGGGCUAGAGUAUGGCAGAGGGGGGUAGAAUUCCACGUGUAGCAGUGAAAUGCGUAGAGAUGUGGAGGAAUACCGAUGGCGAAGGCAGCCCCCUGGGUCAAUACUGACGCUCAUGCACGAAAGCGUGGGGAGCAAACAGG
rnacentral:rRNA from 1 species